rnacentral:rRNA from 1 species
CAAUAGCGUAUAUUAACGUUGUUGCAGUUAAAAAGCUCGUAGUUGGAUUUCUGGAGGGAGCGUCGGCCCGUAUUUACGAGUGCGUGACGUCUCUGUCCAUCCUUGCGGGAAGGCACGGCAUUGAUUUGUUGUGUCGGAUCGCAUCAUUUACUGUGAAAAAAUUAGAGUGUUCAAAGCGGGCUUUCGCUUGAAUACAUUAGCAUGGAAUAAUAAGAUAGGACUUUGGUGCUAUUUUGUUGGUUGAGCCUAAAGUAAUGAUUAAUAGGGAUAGUUGGGGGCACCUGUAUUGCGUUGUCAGAGGUGAAAUUCUUGGAUUUACGCAAGACAAACAGCUGCGAAAGCGUCUGCCAAGGAUGUUUUCAUUA